GGCAGCAGUAGGGAAUCUUCCACAAUGGGCGCAAGCCUGAUGGAGCAACACCGCGUGAGUGAAGAAGGGUUUCGGCUCGUAAAGCUCUGUUGUUAAAGAAGAACACGUAUGAGAGUAACUGUUCAUACGUUGACGGUAUUUAACCAGAAAGUCACGGCUAACUACGUGCCAGCAGCCGCGGUAAUACGUAGGUGGCAAGCGUUAUCCGGAUUUAUUGGGCGUAAAGAGAGUGCAGGCGGUUUUCUAAGUCUGAUGUGAAAGCCUUCGGCUUAACCGGAGAAGUGCAUCGGAAACUGGAUAACUUGAGUGCAGAAGAGGGUAGUGGAACUCCAUGUGUAGCGGUGGAAUGCGUAGAUAUAUGGAAGAACACCAGUGGCGAAGGCGGCUACCUGGUCUGCAACUGACGCUGAGACUCGAAAGCAUGGGUAGCGAACAGGAUUAGAUACCCU
rnacentral:rRNA from 1 species